GCCCGGAUCGUAUAACGGUUUAGUACAUUGGUCUCAUAAGAUGACUCGAUCUAAGAUCGGGGAAUGAAAUCCGGAAAUCUGAGUUCGAUUCUCAGUCCAGGCA